rnacentral:tRNA from 1 species
GCUUGGUGUAGUGGUUUGAAUAUUGGACUAUGACUCCGGAGACCAGGGUUUGAAUCCCAGCUCAACCA